rnacentral:rRNA from 1 species
UCUGGCUCAGGAUGAACGCUGGCGGCGUGCCUAAUACAUGCAAGUCGUACGAGGGAAGUCCAGCUUGCUGGACGGAACGAGUGGCGAACGGGUGAGUAAUACGUAAGCAACCUGCCUGCAAGGACUGGGAUAACACCUGGAAACGGGCGCUAAUACCGGAUAGGUAACAAAGGGGCAUCCCUAUGUUAUUAAAGGUUAGAAACACAAGCAGAUGGGCUUACGGUGCAUUAGCUAGUUGGUGAGGUAACGGCCCACCAAGGCGAUGAUGCACAGCCGGCCUGAGAGGGUGAACGGCCACAUUGGGACUGAGACACGGCCCAGACUCCUACGGGAGGCAGCAGUAGGGAAUUUUCGGCAAUGGACGAAAGUCUGACCGAGCAACGCCGCGUGAGUGAAGAAGGUUUUCGGAUUGUAAAGCUCUGUUGUAAGGGAAGAACAGCACGGAAAGAAUCCGUGAAUGACGGUACCUUACCAGAAAGCCACGGCUAACUACGUGCCAGCAGCUGC